AUAAUCAUUAUAAUACAUAAUUCCCUCAAAUUAGUCUUUAUUCUAGAUUGGAAAGUCUUCCAUGCAUUUUCUAUAUUUCUUUAGUAAAUAUGGCUUACUGAUAUCAUGAUAUAUAUAUUUAUUCCUCAUUUUAUUAUGAUUCCUGCCCCAAUCCUUAAUCAAGGGAGCAUUUCAGUAAAGAAAAUGAAAUAUAAUUUUAUAUUCGAAGGAGUAUGGACUCAAAUAUGGACUUGCUAUUUUAGCUCAACACUUUUCUGAAAGAGCUUAAAUAUUCUUUUGCUUUUUUUGUUUUUUUUUUGUUUGUUUGAGGAUUGGGAACUAUGAAGUAACAUACUGUGAUCUACUGAUUUUCAUUCCCAAAAUGAACAAAGCAAGUGUCAGUAACAGAUUGAGGAUCAGAUUCAAGGGCAUCAUAUUGUUGAAAUCAUUUCCUGUUUGCUGAUCCUGGGUGAUGAAGAAGUUGGAGUUGAUUAAUAUUCACAAGUCAUAACCUUUGAAGGUUGGAGAAACAGAAUCUACAGUCCAAGCUACCUCCAAGAGAAUUGAAGGUUCCCAAGUCACUUUUAAUUGAAACCUCCAAAACUGAGCCCGAGGAUCAAACAACUGCAAUACAAUAUACAACAAGAAGGUAACAAGAAAUUCUAACUAGACCACCAUCAUGAGUAUGGGAUAUUUCACUGAAAUUGUUUUAUGCAUUCAAAUGGGGAUAGAGAAGUGUUAGCAAUACACUCUCUAACACACUCCUUCUAACACCUCUAUUAUAGCUAAAAUUGAUGAAAACCACAAAACUAUGAUUGAGGCUUCUUAAACAGAAGCCAGAUGUGCAAAGUUUUGUGAUUUUGAAUAAAUUUUAGUCCAUAAUAUUAAUAGAGUAUAUUUUAAAAGAGUGUGUUAUUGAUCGACAUUUCUGAAUGAGGAAAUAUAAAUAUAAGUCAUAAAUGCAAUGCAUGAGAUUAAGCUUGUUUCCGAUAGGAACAAGAAAUUGAAAAAUGAUUGGCAUUCAUUGAAGCAAUGCUAGAUAUUUUCUGAAGCUCUUUGGGGAUCAUAAGUAAACCAUAUUGUCAUUCCAACAAGAAAGAAAAGAUGAAGGAGAUGGUAGCUGUUUGCUUUGAUAAUUAAAUGAACAAUUAAUGCUAGAGAGGCAUUGAGUAGGAUGGCAAUCAUGGAUGAGCUACCCUUUAGGUUUGUGUCAAAGCAGAAGGAUUUAGAUACAGCAUGAGUGUUGUUCAGCUUUUAUUUAAUGCUCCAUCCAGGAUGUACAAUGAACAGUUAUAAAUUUACAUAAAUAAAAACAUAGGAAAGGACUUAUUAUUAUCUCAGGAUGCAAAAUCUGAAUUAUACGUGCAUCAUUUCCCCCUUCACAGAUAAAGAGUACACAGUCCACAAGAGGAUUAUGAAUUUGUUAAAUUCCUACUGAGUACUAACAAAAGGAGCGGGGGGGGGGGGGGGGGGGGGGGUGGACUAUUAAGUUAAUUUGACUUUAGAAAUAUAGUGAGAUUAAAAAUUCAACUAAUUGUACAAAGAUGAAAGGCAAAUCACUAGUGUCUGGGGGUGUUCAAAUAAGGUGUUAGAGUAUGCUUUUAAAUUACAAACAACAUUUUAGAGACUUGAAGAUACUAAUGGGAACUAUUUGUUUGAGUUUUUAGGUGUAAAAGGAUCUUCCAGAGACCAGAGAGCUAGUUAGUAAUGAUUGAUGACAUUAAAUCCAUGGAUAGCAAAAUGAAACGAAAGCAUAAGAACUAUUAAUUGGGGAAACUUAGUUACUUAAUGCUGAUUUUUUAUACUAAGUUUUUGUUGGACCAAAGAUAUAAAAUACUGUAAACUUUGUUGAGUUUCUUUAAUUUGCUAACUGUAUGGUUUUGAAACUGCAAAAGCAUUGGCUUCCAAUUAAUGUGAAAUAUACAUUAACCUCAUUGUUUGAGCAUUAUUUCUUUUAUUGUGACUCGUGAAGUAGCUCAAGAACUGAACACUUCUAAGUUUCAGUUCUUCAGGCUAAGGAUUAUGGAGCCUUCAUUGAAGACAUUCAUUUAUAUAUAUCUAUGGAUUUUGCUGAAUUAAUGAGUAAGAAAUAUCUAUUUGAGAACAAAAAUGAAAACGAAACCAAGAGAGGAAUCAUCUGUAAAUUGGAAUUUACUAAUUGGCGUAAGAUAAACUCAUCCAAAUAUGAAAUAUCUUUUACUUGUCAUGAUAGCAAGGAAUGUUCUUCUUGUCCCAAUUUCCGCACAGUGGCUGAUGUGAUCAUGUCAACUUUUUGCAUGAGAAGACCUCUGUAGAUGCAUAUAUAUAUAUAUAUAUAUAGAAAAUUAUUGAGUCUAAUUUAUAAGGGUUAAGCACCCAUUUGUGCUUAAACCUGGUUUUUGUGUAUAUAUAUCACUGCCCAGUGCUAUUUAUGGAGAGACAAGGUGGUGGAUGAAAUUGAUCAUGGUAAUAUAUCAUAACACUUUUAGUUCAUUCUUGAACAACACUAAUAUGUUGGAAAGAAGACAGAUAGCUUUCUGGAUCAGGAAAUCUGAUCUGCAUGCUAAUUACUCAAUAAACAAAAUGUAUGUUUAUUCACAUGUAUGUAGUACUGUACUUUGUAAUCCUGACCUUUUAGCUUUUAUAGAUUGAAGGAAAGAGGUACUAGGCUACUAGUUUGAUGAGAA